rnacentral:rRNA from 1 species
AUUGAACGCUGGCGGCAGGCCUAACACAUGCAAGUCGAGCGCGAAAGGCCUUCGGGCUGAGUAGAGCGGCGGACGGGUGAGUAACGCGUAGGAAUCUACCCGGUAGUGGGGGACAACUUGGGGAAACUCAAGCUAAUACCGCAUACGCCCUAAGGGGGAAAGCGGGGGACCUUCGGGCCUCGCGCUAUCGGAUGAGCCUGCGUAGGGUUAGCUAGUUGGUGAGGUAAAGGCUCACCAAGGCGACGAUCCUUAGCUGGUCUGAGAGGAUGAUCAGCCACACUGGGACUGAGACACGGCCCAGACUCCUACGGGAGGCAGCAGUGGGGAAUAUUGCGCAAUGGGGGCAACCCUGACGCAGCCAUGCCGCGUGUGUGAAGAAGGCCUUCGGGUUGUAAAGCACUUUCAAUGGGGAAGAAAAGCGUACUGUUAAUAGCGGUGCGCCGUGACGUUACCCAUAGAAGAAGCACCGGCUAACUCCGUGCCAGCCGCCGCCGUAAGAC